GGGGGAACCCUGUAUCGAGCGAUGCCGCGUGUGUGAAGAAGGCCUUUUGGUUGUAAAGCACUUUAAGCAGUGAAGAAGACUCUUCGGUUAAUACCCGGAGACGAUGACAUUAGCUGCAGAAUAAGCACCGGCUAACUCUGUGCCAGCAGCCGCGGUAAUACAGAGGGUGCAAGCGUUAAUCGGAAUUACUGGGCGUAAAGCGAGCGUAGGUGGCUUGAUAAGUCAGAUGUGAAAUCCCCGGGCUUAACCUGGGAACUGCAUCUGAAACUGUUAGGCUAGAGUAGGUGAGAGGGAAGUAGAAUUUCAGGUGUAGCGGUGAAAUGCGUAGAGAUCUGAAGGAAUACCGAUGGCGAAGGCAGCUUCCUGGCAUCAUACUGACACUGAGGCUCGAAAGCGUGGGUAGCAAACAGGAUUAGAUACCCUGGUAGUCCACGCCGUAAACGAUGUCUACUAGUCGUUGGGUCCCUUGAGGACUUAGUGACGCAGCUAACGCAAUAAGUAGACCGCCUGGGGAGUACGGCCGCAAGGUUAAAACUCAAAUGAAUUGACGGGGGCCCGCACAAGCGGUGGAGCAUGUGGUUUAAUUCGAUGCAACGCGAAGAACCUUACCUGGUCUUGACAUAUCUAGAAUCCUGCAGAGAUGCGGGAGUGCCUUCGGGAAUUAGAAUACAGGUGCUGCAGGGCUGUCGUCAGCUCGUGUCCUGAGAUGUUGGGUUAAGUCCCGCAAC
rnacentral:rRNA from 1 species